ACAUGCAAGUCGAACGCUUCUUUUUCCACCGGAGCUUGCUCCACCGGAAAAAGAGGAGUGGCGAACGGGUGAGUAACACGUGGGUAACCUGCCCAUCAGAAGGGGAUAACACUUGGAAACAGGUGCUAAUACCGUAUAACAAUCGAAACCGCAUGGUUUUGAUUUGAAAGGCGCUUUCGGGUGUCGCUGAUGGAUGGACCCGCGGUGCAUUAGCUAGUUGGUGAGGUAACGGCUCACCAAGGCGACGAUGCAUAGCCGACCUGAGAGGGUGAUCGGCCACAUUGGGACUGAGACACGGCCCAAACUCCUACGGGAGGCAGCAGUAGGGAAUCUUCGGCAAUGGACGAAAGUCUGACCGAGCAACGCCGCGUGAGUGAAGAAGGUUUUCGGAUCGUAAAACUCUGUUGUUAGAGAAGAACAAGGAUGAGAGUAACUGUUCAUCCCUUGACGGUAUCUAACCAGAAAGCCACGGCUAACUACGUGCCAGCAGCCGCGGUAAUACGUAGGUGGCAAGCGUUGUCCGGAUUUAUUGGGCGUAAAGCGAGCGCAGGCGGUUUCUUAAGUCUGAUGUGAAAGCCCCCGGCUCAACCGGGGAGGGUCAUUGGAAACUGGGAGACUUGAGUGCAGAAGAGGAGAGUGGAAUUCCAUGUGUAGCGGUGAAAUGCGUAGAUAUAUGGAGGAACACCAGUGGCGAAGGCGGCUCUCUGGUCUGUAACUGACGCUGAGGCUCGAAAGCGUGGGGAGCAGACAGGAUUAGAUACCCUGGUAGUCCACGCCGUAAACGAUGAGUGCUAAGUGUUGGAGGGUUUCCGCCCUUCAGUGCUGCAGCUAACGCAUUAAGCACUCCGCCUGGGGAGUACGACCGCAAGGUUGAAACUCAAAGGAAUUGACGGGGGCCCGCACAAGCGGUGGAGCAUGUGGUUUAAUUCGAACCAACGCGAAGAACCUUACCAGGUCUUGACAUCCUUUGACCACUCUAGAGAUAGAGCUUCCCCUUCGGGGGCAAAGUGACAGGUGGUGCAUGGUUGUCGUCAGCUCGUGUCAUGAGAUGUUGGGUUAAUCUCGCACGAGCGCCACCCUUAUGGUUAUUGUCUUCGUUUGUUGGGCAAUCUACCGGACCGCCCGCAACAACAGAGGAAGGGGGGGAGACGGGGGAGAGGAGACCCCCUUUAAGUGGGGGGGCGCCUGGUGGUGGUGGUUUUUUGAAUUUUCAAAAAAAAAGGGGGG
rnacentral:rRNA from 1 species